rnacentral:rRNA from 1 species
GUGUCAGCAGCCGCGGUAAUACGUAGGUGGCAAGCGUUGUCCGGAAUUAUUGGGCGUAAAGCGCGCGCAGGCGGUCCUUUAAGUCUGAUGUGAAAGCCCACGGCUCAACCGUGGAGGGUCAUUGGAAACUGGGGGACUUGAGUGCAGAAGAGGAAAGCGGAAUUCCACGUGUAGCGGUGAAAUGCGUAGAGAUGUGGAGGAACACCAGUGGCGAAGGCGGCUUUCUGGUCUGUAACUGACGCUGAGGCGCGAAAGCGUGGGGAGCAAACAGGAUUAGAUACCCCCGUAGUCC